rnacentral:tRNA from 1 species
GAGGCUGUGGCUCAGUGGUAGAGCACUUGCCUAGCAUGUGCGAGGUGCUGCGUUUGAUCCUCAGCACCACA